rnacentral:rRNA from 1 species
GUUUAUCAAAAACAUGUCUUUUUGAAUUUAAUUUAAGUCUAACCUGCCCACUGAUUUUUAAAUGGCCGCAGUAUCUUAACUGUGCAAAGGUAGCAUAAUCAUUAGUCUUUUAAUUGAAGGCUGGAAUGAAUGGUUGAAUGAAAUAUUAACUGUUUCAAAUAAAUUAAUAAUAGAAUUUUAUUUUUUAGCCAAAAAGCUAAAAUAAUAUUAAAAGACGAGAAGACCCUAUAAAUCUUUAUAUUUUAUAUUAUAAUUAUUAUUUUGAUGAUUUAAAUUUUUAUAUUAUAAAAUAUUUUAUUGGGGUGAUAUUAAAAUUUAAUUAACUUUUAAUUAAAUAUAAACAAAAAUUAUUGAAAUAUUGAUCCAUAUAUUAUGAUUAUAAAAUUAAGUUACUUUAGGGAUAACAGCGUAAUUUUUUUAGAGAGUUCAUAUUAAUAAAAAAGUUUGCGACCUCGAUGUUGGAUUAAGAUAAAAUUUAGGUGAAGAA